rnacentral:tRNA from 1 species
GCGGGUGUAGUGUCAUUGGCUAGCACGGCGAGUUGACCCCUCAUCAGAGUUCGGUUCGAUUCCGGCCACCCGCU